AUGCCUACGCCACCGCUCCCUCCUGCCUCGCGCAGCUCCCCUGGCCCCCUUGCCUGCCUCCCAAAUAUCCCCUCUUUCACCCCCAAAGUUGUUUCUUGUUCCUCCCGCUGUGUCUCCUACUUGCGCGUUGCGGCGACACCUCCCCCUCGUUGCCCCCGAUGUCGGAGGAGGCACGGGGAAAGCAGCAGUGUCUCGCGCUGCGCUUGCGCCACCUCGGGUAUGCAUGGGCCUACGCGUCGGUCGCCGCCUCGGCCGUGCGCCAGUCCGCAAAGGAGGAGGAAGGGGAUUAUGUUUGCCGCCAAGGCGUACUGGGUAUGCUCCUCGAGUCCCCACUCUUCAGGCCCCUCCUCACCUCCCUCAUCAAGAAGCAGAACAACAUGA
rnacentral:rRNA from 1 species